AGAGUUUGAUCCUGGCUCAGGACGAACGCUGGCGGCGCGCCUAACACAUGCAAGUCGAACGAGAGAGAGGGAGCUUGCUUCCUCAAUCGAGUGGCGAACGGGUGAGUAACGCGUGAGGAACCUGCCUCAAAGAGGGGGACAACAGUUGGAAACGACUGCUAAUACCGCAUAAGCCCACGGCUCGGCAUCGAGCAGAGGGAAAAGGAGCAAUCCGCUUUGAGAUGGCCUCGCGUCCGAUUAGCUAGUUGGUGAGGUAACGGCCCACCAAGGCGACGAUCGGUAGCCGGACUGAGAGGUUGAACGGCCACAUUGGGACUGAGACACGGCCCAGACUCCUACGGGAGGCAGCAGUGGGGAAUAUUGCACAAUGGGGGAAACCCUGAUGCAGCGACGCCGCGUGGAGGAAGAAGGUCUUCGGAUUGUAAACUCCUGUUGUUGAGGAAGAUAAUGACGGUACUCAACAAGGAAGUGACGGCUAACUACGUGCCAGCAGCCGCGGUAAAACGUAGGUCACAAGCGUUGUCCGGAAUUACUGGGUGUAAAGGGAGCGCAGGCGGGAAGACAAGUUGGAAGUGAAAACCAUGGGCUCAACCCAUGAAUUGCUUUCAAAACUGUUUUUCUUGAGUAGUGCAGAGGUAGAUGGAAUUCCCGGUGUAGCGGUGGAAUGCGUAGAUAUCGGGAGGAACACCAGUGGCGAAGGCGGCCUACUGGGCACCAACUGACGCUGAGGCUCGAAAGUGUGGGUAGCAAACAGGAUUAGAUACCCUGGUAGUCCACACCGUAAACGAUGAUUACUAGGUGUUGGAGGAUUGACCCCUUCAGUGCCGCAGUUAACACAAUAAGUAAUCCACCUGGGGAGUACGACCGCAAGGUUGAAACUCAAAGGAAUUGACGGGGGCCCGCACAAGCAGUGGAGUAUGUGGUUUAAUUCGAAGCAACGCGAAGAACCUUACCAGGUCUUGACAUCCCGA
rnacentral:rRNA from 1 species